rnacentral:tRNA from 1 species
GCCUUCGUGGUGUAAUGGUCAGCACGCUGAGUCGGUAAUUCAGAGGUCCGCGGUUCGAUCCCCGGCGAAGGCA